AGUGAACGCUGGCGGUAGGCCUAACACAUGCCAGUCGAACGGCAGCACAGUAAGAGCUUGCUCUUACGGGUGGCGAGUGGCGGACGGGUGAGGAAUACAUCGGAAUCUACUUUUUCGUGGGGGAUAACGUAGGGAAACUUACGCUAAUACCGCAUACGACCUACGGGUGAAAGCAGGGGAUCUUCGGACCUUGCGCGAUUGAAUGAGCCGAUGUCGGAUUAGCUAGUUGGCGGGGUAAAGGCCCACCAAGGCGACGAUCCGUAGCUGGUCUGAGAGGAUGAUCAGCCACACUGGAACUGAGACACGGUCCAGACUCCUACGGGAGGCAGCAGUGGGGAAUAUUGGACAAUGGGCGCAAGCCUGAUCCAGCCAUACCGCGUGGGUGAAGAAGGCCUUCGGGUUGUAAAGCCCUUUUGUUCGGAAAGAAAAGCAGCAGGUUAAUACCCCGCUGUUCUGACGGUACCCAAAGAAUAAGCACCGGCUAACUUCGUG
rnacentral:rRNA from 1 species